AAAUUUCACUAACAUUCAGUCUCUGCUCCAGUUUAUUGCAGUGUAUCAUCCAGUCCUAAUACUGUGAGAGUAUUUUCUUUAUCUUCAAAUGCCCACGAAGAAGCUCUUGUUUCAAGUGGCAAUAACCGCUGAGAUGAUUAGCUCGAAUAUGCUCUAACAAAUACUAUGCAUAACCAAGAAUUACAAAAGCAUGAUGAAGCAUUAAACAAUGCUUAGAUUUCUUAAUGAUAGUUAGUUAACCUCAUUGCAAGCGUGAUGAGCGCAGUUAGUCCAGUCGAGAUUAGCAGCACGACACUCAUCAUAAGCACGAACGAGCUCAUGAAUCACCACUUGCACCACCUGAUCAUCUUCACAUCGCAAGUUAUUGCUACAUACUUGAAUCUAAUGC
rnacentral:lncRNA from 1 species